rnacentral:rRNA from 1 species
CUACGGGUUGCUGCAGUGAGGAAUUUUGCGCAAUGGGCGAAAGCCUGACGCAGCAACGCCGCGUGAGUGAUGAAGGCCUUCGGGUCGUAAAGCUCUGUCAAGUGGGAAGAACCUAUGUAAUGUUAAUAUCAUUAUAUACUGACGGUACCACUGAAGGAAGCACCGGCUAACUCCGUGCCAGCAGGCCGCGGUAAUACGGGGGGUGCAAGCGUUAUUCGGAAUCAUUGGGCGUAAAGGGCACGUAGGCGGCCUGGUAAGUCAGAUGUGAAAGCCCGGGGCUAAACCCCGGAAGUGCAUUUGAUACUGUCAGGCUUGAGUAUGGGAGAGGGAAGUGGAAUUCCUGGUGUAGAGGUGAAAUUCGUAGAUAUCAGGAGGAACACCGGUGGCGAAGGCGACUUCCUGGACCAAUACUGACGCUGAGGUGCGAAGGCGUGGGUAGCAAACAGGAUUAGAUACCCCGGUAGUC